rnacentral:rRNA from 1 species
UACGUAGGGUGCGAGCGUUACUCGGAAUUACUGGGCGUAAAGCGUGCGCAGGCGGUUUGUUAAGUCCGUUGUGAAAGCCCCGAGCUCAACUUGGGAAUUGCAGUGGAUACUGGCAGGCUGGAGUACGGUAGAGGAAGGUGGAAUUCCCGGUGUAGCAGUGAAAUGCGUAGAUAUCGGGAGGAACACCAGUGGCGAAGGCGGCCUUCUGGACCAGUACUGACGCUGAUGCACGAAAGCGUGGGGAGCAAACAGG